rnacentral:rRNA from 1 species
UACGUAGGGUGCAAGCGUUGUCCGGAAUUAUUGGGCGUAAAGAGCUCGUAGGCGGUUCGUCGCGUCGGCUGUGAAAACCCGGAGCUCAACUCCGGGCCUGCAGUCGAUACGGGCGGACUGGAGUUCGGCAGGGGAGACUGGAAUUCCUGGUGUAGCGGUGAAAUGCGCAGAUAUCAGCAGGAACACCGGUGGCGAAGGCGGGUCUCUGGGCCGAUACUGACGCUGAGGAGCGAAAGCGUGGGGAGCGAACAGG